UGAAAUCAAUUUCAUGGG
rnacentral:piRNA from 1 species